AUGACUUUCAUCUUCAUGUUCCUCUGGACACUUGUCCUCUGCUUUCAAAAGUCAUAUGGACAGGUCACUGUGACUCAGACUCCUGCAGUGAAAGCUGUUCAACAGGGAGGAUCAGUCACUCUCAAUUGUAAAACCAGCAGUGAUGUGUAUGGUGCAGGGCCAUCAAACCCUUUCUUAUUCUGGUACCAACAGAAACCUGGAGCAGCUCCUAAACUCAUGAUCUAUUAUGCCAACCGACUUCAGUCUGGGACUCCAUCCAGAUUCAGUGGCAGUGGAACUCACAGUGACUUCACUCUGACCAUCAGUAAUGUCCAGGCUGAGGAUGCAGGAGUUUACUACUGUCAGAGUGCACACUAUAUAAGCAGUAAAAGUGUGUUCACACAGUGA